UCUACGGGUGGUAGCAGUGAGGAAUAUUGGUCAAUGGGCGGAAGCCUGAACCAGCCAAGUAGCGUGCAGGAUGACUGCCCUAUGGGUUGUAAACUUCUUUUAUAUGGGAAUAAAAUGAUGCACGUGUGGGAUUUUGUAUGUACCAUAUGAAUAAGGAUCGGCUAACUCCGUGCCAGCAGCCGCGGUAAUACGGAGGAUCCGAGCGUUAUCCGGAUUUAUUGGGGUUAAAGGGAGCGUAGGUGGAUUGUUAAGUCAGUUGUGAAAGUUUGCGGCUCAACCGUAAAAUUGCAGUUGAAACUGGCAGUCUUGAGUACAGUAGAGGUAGGCGGAAUUCGUGGUGUAGCGGUGAAAUGCUUAGAUAUCACGAAGAACUCCGAUUGCGAAGGCAGCUCACUGAACUGCAACUGACACUGAGGCUCGAAAGUGUGGGUAUCAAACAGGAUUAGAUACCCUUGUAGUC
rnacentral:rRNA from 1 species